UUAACUCAUAUUUGUAUGGAAUGGGAUCGUUUGCGUGCGUUUGCCGCUAGGGGGCGCUGUUCCAACUGCAUACAAAAUUGGAUUA
rnacentral:pre_miRNA from 1 species